CUCACGGCCCCUGCCAGGCCAGGAGGCUGAAUUCCAGAACUUUGUGGGAACUGGCAGAAGCAGGGAGCUCUCUCUCCACUGCAGUUGGGAGGCUGGUGGGGUGUCAGCCUGGGAUGGCUGAGAGCAUGGUACAGAGAAAACUCUGUGAGUAAAGGCAACAGAUGAAAGCAAGUUAAAGCUGGAGAGAGCCUGAGAGAGGAUGGAAACGACUGCCCUUGAGGUCUGGACAGAGGCUCCCGUUACACGAAAGGGCGCAUGAGUUUUAUUUGUUUUUUCACCUAAGCCAGCUUCAGUUGGGUUUGUCACUUGCCACAAAAAGGACACUGACAAAUGUAGUUUAAGAAGAGAAGCUGGAAGCAGCAAAUGCUUCGCAAAACCCAGGAACAUUUGCCCUUUCACUUGCUGGAUUCCAUGCUGUCGCUGGAGCGGGAGCCUCUCCAGUCCUGCCCAGCUGAGUCAUCACUGCUGACGCCAGUGGAGGAUCUGGCAGGAGCCCUCUGCUCCUCAUUUGGGCGCCCUCAGGGACGCACGCCCAGGGGUGUUCUGGGAAAUUUAGCAGGGAAGAAUAACAGAAGAUCUUCUUCAGAAACCUCAAGCUCCGAUGAUGCCUUCAGACCCAUGAAGAUGGAGUGUGAAAUUCCAUGAAUAUCGAGUCUAUUUUCUGGACCCCAGAGCUGUGCGUCUUCCUCUCUGUCGGGCUCAUUCUGAAGCACAGUCCCAGCAUCCAUAUGGCAGAUGCAGCAUCCACGUGGCAGAUGCUUCCUGGACACUCUUAACAGCAUCCACAUGGCAGACGCUUCCUGGACACUCUUAACAGUCACAGGACACUUGGGCUAGUCAGGACACAGAGGACACAGCAGGCUGCAGCUGCAGAGCUUGAAAAGAUUUAUUUUAAAAGCCCAAGGGGAUAAAUACAGCAUCUCUCACAUUACUCCAUACUUAAAAAUAUUUGGAUUAAUUAUAUUAAAAAUUUGCAUUCAAAAGCGUU
rnacentral:lncRNA from 1 species